AUUGAGCGCUAGCGGCAUGCCUUACACAUGCAAGUCGAACGGCAGCACGGGGCAACCUGGUGGCGAGUGGCGAACGGGUGAGUAAUGUAUCGGAACGUGCCCAGUAGCGGGGGAUAACUACGCGAAAGCGUAGCUAAUACCGCAUACGCCCUACGGGGGAAAGGGGGGGAUCGCAAGACCUCUCACUAUUGGAGCGGCCGAUAUCGGAUUAGCUAGUUGGUGAGGUAAAGGCUCACCAAGGCUUCGAUCCGUAGCAGGUUUGAGAGGACGACCAGACACGCUGGGACUGAGACACGGCCCAGACUCCGACGGGAGGCAGCAGUGGGGAAUUUUGGACAAUGGGGGCAACCCUGAUGCAGCAAUGCCGCGUGUGCGAAGAAGGCCUUCGGGUUGUAAAGCACUUUUGGCAGGAACGAAACGGUGCCGGAUAAUACCUGGCGCCACUGACGGUACCUGCAGAAUAAGCACCGGCUAACUACGUGCCAGCCGCCGCGGUAA
rnacentral:rRNA from 1 species